rnacentral:rRNA from 1 species
UAGGGAAUCUUCCACAAUGGACGCAAGUCUGAUGGAGCAACGCCGCGUGAGUGAAGAAGGUUUUCGGAUCGUAAAGCUCUGUUGUUGGUGAAGAAGGAUAGAGGCAGUAACUGGUCUUUAUUUGACGGUAAUCAACCAGAAAGUCACGGCUAACUACGUGCCAGCAGCCGCGUUAAUACGUAGGUGGCAAGCGUUGUCCGGAUUUAUUGGGCGUAAAGCGAGCGCAGGCGGAAUGAUAAGUCUGAUGUGAAAGCCCACGGCUCAACCGUGGAAAUGCAUCGGAAACUGUCAUUCUUGAGUGCAGAAGAGGAGAGUGGAAUUCCAUGUGUAGCGGUGGAAUGCGUAGAUAUAUGGAAGAACACCAGUGGCGAAGGCGGCUCUCUGGUCUGCAUCUGACGCUGAGGCUCGAAAGCGUGGGUAGCGAACAGG